UACGUAGGGUGCAAGCGUUGUCCGGAAUUAUUGGGCGUAAAGAGCUCGUAGGCGGUCUGUUACGUCGGCUGUGAAAACCUGGGGCUCAACCCCGGGCCUGCAACCGAUACGGGUAGACUAGAAUUCGGUAGGGGAGACUGGAAUUCCUGGUGUAGCGGUGGAAUGCGCAGAUAUCUGGAGGAACACCGGUGGCGAAGGCGGCAUCCUGGACCGGUAUUGACGCUGAUGCGCGAAAGCCAGGGGAGCAAACGGG
rnacentral:rRNA from 1 species